rfam:Nicotiana sylvestris Nsyl_contig102439, whole genome shotgun sequence.
AGGCAGAUGAUGAUUUAUAUUAUUUGGGCUGAUUACACCAUGAUGCUCCAAAUUCGAGCUUUUUAAAACUGAUGCCAC